rnacentral:rRNA from 1 species
GAUGAACGCUGGCGGCGUGCCUAAUACAUGCAAGUCGAGCGAACAGACGAGGAGCUUGCUCCUCUGACGUUAGCGGCGGACGGGUGAGUAACACGUGGAUAACCUACCUAUAAGACUGGGAUAACUUCGGGAAACCGGAGCUAAUACCGGAUAAUAUAUUGAACCGCAUGGUUCAAUAGUGAAAGACGGUUUUGCUGUCACUUAUAGAUGGAUCCGCGCCGCAUUAGCUAGUUGGUAAGGUAACGGCUUACCAACGCAACGAUGCGUAGCCGACCUGAGAGGGUGAUCGGGCACACUGGAACUGAGACACGGUCCAGACUCCUACGGGAGGCAGCAGUAGGGAAUCUUCCGCAAUGGGGGGAAGCCUGACGGAGGCAAGCCGCGUGAGUGAUGAAGGUCUUCGGAGCGUAAAACUCUGUUAUUAGGGAAGAAAAAAUGUGUAAGUAACUAUGCACGUCUUGAAGGUACCUAAUCAGAAAGCCACGGCUAACUACGUG